rnacentral:rRNA from 1 species
UGCAGAAUCCCGUGAACCAUCAAGUCUUUGAACGCAAGUUGCGCCCGAGGGACCCUCCCGAGGGCACGCCUGCCUGGGCGUAA